rnacentral:rRNA from 1 species
UGCUACCAUGCAGUCGAGCGAUGAGCCCUUCGGGGUGGAUUAGCGGCGGACGGGUGAGUAACACGUGGGUAACCUGCCUUAUAGAGGGGGAUAGCCUUCCGAAAGGAAGAUUAAUACCGCAUGAAAUGUUUUUAUCGCAUGGUAGAAACAUCAAAGGAGUAAUCCGCUAUAAGAUGGACCCGCGGCGCAUUAGCUAGUUGGUGAGGUAACGGCCCACCAAGGCGACGAUGCGUAGCCGACCUGAGAGGGUGAUCGGCCACAUUGGAACUGAGACACGGUCCAGACUCCUACGGGAGGCAGCAGUGGGGAAUAUUGCGCAAUGGGGGAAACCCUGACGCAGCAACGCCGCGUGAAUGAAGAAGGCCUUAGGGUUGUAAAGUUCUGUUUUCUGGGACGAUAAUGACGGUACCAGAGGAGGAAGCCACGGCUAACUACGUGCCAGCAGCCGCGGUAAUACGUAGGUGGCAAGCGUUGUCCGGAUUUACUGGGCGUAAAGGAUGCGUAGGCGGAUGUUUAAGUGAGAUGUGAAAUACCCGAGCUCAACUUGGGUGCUGCAUUUCAAACUGGAUAUCUAGAGUGCAGGAGAGGAAAGCGGAAUUCCUAGUGUAGCGGUGAAAUGCGUAGAGAUUAGAGACACCAGUGGCGAGCGGCUUU